rnacentral:rRNA from 1 species
GAUCCUGGCUCAGGGUGAACGCUAGCUACAGGCUUAACACAUGCAAGUCGAGGGGCAGCAUGAACUUAGCUUGCUAAGUUUGAUGGCGACCGGCGCACGGGUGAGUAACACGUAUCCAACCUGCCGAUGACUCGGGGAUAGCCUUUCGAAAGAAAGAUUAAUACCCGAUGGCAUAGUUCUUCCGCAUGGUGGAACUAUUAAAGAUUCAUCGGUAUGCGAUGGGGAUGCGUUCCAUUAGG